AUUUAUAUAGUUUAAAUUUAAAACAUUACAUUUUCAAUGUAAAAUUAAUUAAUUUUUAUAAAUA
rnacentral:tRNA from 1 species